GAGUUACACUCCCAACCCCUGUGACAUACCUUAAUGUUGCCUCGGCGGAUCAGCCCGCGCCCCGUAAAACGGGACGGCCCGCCAGAGGACCCAAACUCUAAUGUUUCUUAUUGUAACUUCUGAGUAAAACAAACAAAUAAAUCAAAACUUUCAACAACGGAUCUCUUGGUUCUGGCAUCGAUGAAGAACGCAGCAAAAUGCGAUAAGUAAUGUGAAUUGCAGAAUUCAGUGAAUCAUCGAAUCUUUGAACGCACAUUGCGCCCGCUGGUAUUCCGGCGGGCAUGCCUGUUCGAGCGUCAUUUCAACCCUCAAGCCCUCGGGUUUGGUGUUGGGGAUCGGCUCUGCCUUCUGGCGGUGCCGCCCCCGAAAUACAUUGGCGGUCUCGCUGCAGCCUCCAUUGCGUAGUAGCUAACACCUCGCAACUGGAACGCGGCGCGGCCAUGCCGUAAAACCCCAACUUCUGAAUGUUGACCUCGGAUCAGGUAGGAAUACCCGCUGAACUUAAGCAUAUCAAUAAGCGGAGGAAAAGAAACCAACAGGGAUUGCCCUAGUAACGGCGAGUGAAGCGGCAACAGCUCAAAUUUGAAAUCUGGCUUUCGGGCCCGAGUUGUAAUUUGUAGAGGAUACUUUUGAUGCGGUGCCUUCCGAGUUCCCUGGAACGGGACGCCAUAGAGGGUGAGAGCCCCGUCUGGUUGGAUGCCAAAUCUCUGUAAAGUUCCUUCGACGAGUCGAGUAGUUUGGGAAUGCUGCUCUAAAUGGGAGGUAUAUGUCUUCUAAAGCUAAAUAUUGGCCAGAGACCGAUAGCGCACAAGUAGAGUGAUCGAAAGAUGAAAAGCACUUUGAAAAGAGAGUUAAAAAGUACGUGAAAUUGUUGAAAGGGAAGCGUUUAUGACCAGACUUGGACUUGGUUAAUCAUCUGGGGUUCUCCCCAGUGCACUUUUCCAGUUCAGGCCAGCAUCAGUUUUCGCCGGGGGAUAAAGGCUUCGGGAAUGUAGCUCUCUUCGGGGAGUGUUAUAGCCCGUUGUGUAAUACCCUGGUGGAGACUGAGGUUCGCGCUCUGCAAGGAUGCUGGA
rnacentral:rRNA from 1 species